GCCUGUUCCCAGCUGUGUCCCCACCACGGUGGCCUCUGAGGUCUGAGAGCCCGAGGAGAGGCGCAAAUGCCACACGAGGGGAUGUCCUGGGUGCACCCCUUCCUUCCGGCCCUCUCCCCUGCGAGGUCCUACAUCCGGGUGCUGAGCGCCUCCUGGGGCAGGGGGCCGCCCUUCCUCCUGCAGGGCCCUGCAGCACCGACAGGACCCUGCUGCGGGGUCCCUGCUGGGCUAGGCGAGCCUGAGCGCUUCCGCAGCCUCAUCUGGAGAGAACGAGUAAAAAUAAUUGGUAGCUGUCAUCCCAGUACUCAGGAGGCCAAGGCAGGAGGAUGGAUGCAAAUUUAAGGCCAGUGCUAUGUAGCAGGUUCAAGGCCAGCCUGAACGACACAGCGAGACCCUGUUUCAAAACAAAAGCAAAAACAGAAACAGAUUUGGGACUGGCAGUUCCCAAGCCCUGGCCCUUCCUGUAGGAGGGGCUGGAGGAGGCUGGGAGGCUGGCGCAGGUGACCUGCUCCCCUGGGUCCUGCCUGUUCCUGCAGCAGAAGCGGUUCACAGGAUUCCCACACCGGAAGAGCCAACUUCAUCACCCCUACCUAGAAAGUUUGGUGGCUGCCACAUCCCAAGGGAGAAGGCCAGGGAGGAGAAAGUGACAGUGGCAGCCCCUCUAGCACACAGCUCCCAUGCCUAUGACCCUGCGGUCUGCACCUCUUCUGGCCUGACUUGCCGCCCCCCACCCCCACCCCAUGACCCCAGGAGGAGGCCUGGGGCCUGGCCCAGUGUGAGCAGGGCUGGGCCAGCUGGGCAGACAGAGGAGAGGAACUCAGGUUGGAGACACCAGGCCUGGAGAGACCUUCUGUUGCCCACUCGUGUCUCCCCACUGAUUAAACCUCUUCUCGGAGUGUUCAGGGGAACCCAAGAAAGGGAAGGAAAGACAAGGGGCCCAGCCCUGGCUGAGGACCGCCAUGCGGCAGGACAGCACGGGGACCCUGCAGGUCCGUGUGCCCUCAGGGCCCGCCAGCCGCUCCUGUGGGCUCUCGGGUGGGAGCAGGCAGCCGCAGGCAGGAUCGAGACAGCCCCUGCUGUCCUUCAUGUUCGUUUUGUGUUCAGGGAAACCCCAUGGCAUUCUGGUUCCUGUUUUGAUGGUUUUUAGAGCUUUUCUGAGGCACAGCUGAUACAGUCGCACUGCUUUUCAGUGUGGACCCUGGUGACUCAGUUCCCACACUCACAGGACUGAACUUAUGGAUCACCUCCAAGAAUUUCCCCGCAUAUGUGCGCGCGCAUGUGUGUGUGUACCCAUGCGUGUUUCCGUGUAAGAACACAACAGAUUUUAAACCGUUUAAAGGGGCACAGCCCUGUUGUCACCAACAGGCCCCAUGUUGUGCUGCUGCAGAUUUCUCCACCUCCCCAACUCCCGGCAGCCCCUGUCCUCGCCCCUGCCUCUGUGUGACCGACUCUUGGAUCCCCGUACAAGUGGCAUCGUGCGGUAAUUUAAUUGUCCUCUGCAUCUGGCUCAUGUCACUGAGCGGAAGGACCUCUAGGUUUUCCACUUUGUUGCGGUUGGCAGGAUCCCUUCUUUUUUAGGGAACGAUGCCCCCUUGUAUGUAUGCACCGCGCUUUCUUUAUCCAUUCAUCUGCUGCUGGACACGUGGGUCACGUCCAUAUCUUGCUUAUUGUGAAUAUGGAAAAAUACAGUUUCAGUACACGAAGACACACUGCAAUGUACUCUGUUGACAGAAGGGAUAGCUGUGGCCGGGGAUUUAGCUCAGUGGUUUCGCCGCCUGCUGCGCAAGCACAAGGACCCAAGUCCUGCCCGAGGACCCCUCUUCCACCGCCCCAGCUUCAGCGGGGGGGUCCUGUCCCCUCCC
rnacentral:lncRNA from 1 species